rnacentral:lncRNA from 1 species
GUGAGGCCCAGGAGGGUCAAGAGAAGGCUCAGUCAUAGCCACCAGCUCCCCUGCCCCACCACUGCCCAGCAGUGGCACAGAGGCACUGCCUGAGGGAUAGAGAGAAACCUGGAUGCCCCAGCCCAGGCCCUCAAGGCUGAGGUCAGAGGCCCAUCCUUCCAAGUCCAUGCGGCCUCCCUCAUCCGCCCACAGCCGUGAAGCUCUUCCUUGGCCGUCUUUGCUCUCCCCCACCCCUCCUGCCUCCUCUGGCUUGGCCUCCUGUGGCCGUGAGGAGGGCAGGUUGACUGUAGGAGUGGCCAUAAUUUCAGUGGCAGCCGUGGUCACAGAGAGAGGUGGGCGCCCCAUAGAGGCCCUGCCAGAGUCCCUGGCCCCUGCCCGAUGCCCCUGUUGUGCGAGAAUAAGAAUACUGCCAGCCUUUCCUGCCGGCGCCUUCCCGGGAGCCCCUGGCCUGGCCCUUCC